rfam:Ictidomys tridecemlineatus contig103015, whole genome shotgun sequence.
GGGAACGUGGCUCAGUGGUACAGCACUUGCUUAGCAAGCUUGAGGACCUGGGUUCAACCCAGCACAGCCA